CAUUUCAUUUUCGUAUAUUUUCCUUUGUAUAUAUUUGUAUCUAGUAUACUAUUUGAAAUUUCGUUGAGAUAAAUAAGUUGCAUGUAAUUAUAACUAGUAUUUAAAGUGUUAGCUAUCGUGGAUAAAUACGUUAGCUUAAGGAAGUGGCGUCCCUAUGCUGUUUUAUUCAGGGCUAAAGCCUCGGAUGUUAUUUAAUUAGCCCCGAAUAUGAUCUUUGAAAAAAAAUAAAAUAAUAAUCAUAAAUUUAUAAGUAGCCUAGUCUUGAUAGACAUAGUCCUUCUGGCAAGAGAAUAAACAACAACCUGUGUGUGUGUGUGUGUGUGUGUGUGUGUGUGUGUGUGUGUGUGUGUGUGUGUGUGUGUGUGUGUGUGUGUGUGUGUGUGUGUGUGUGUUUGUUUGUGGGGAGGGGGGGUAUCUAUAUAGUUUGUAUCUAUAUUAAGAUAAUCUUUGGUGUGUGUCUAUUUGGUGUGUUUAUCUUUAUCGUGUGUAUCUAUAUGGUGUGUAACUAUGGUGUGUAACUAUGAUGUGUGCGUAUCUAUAUGGUGUAUACCUAUGGUGUGUGCGUGUAUGUUGUGGCAUCCCGCCACUUAAACCUCGGCCCGGACCAGCCCGAGGCUUGGUCCUGGAUGGCCGAUACCACCGUCACCCACCAGCCGGCGACGGAGAGCACCGACCGAACCCCAAUCAGCGAGAUUGGGGGACACCUGGCCGAAAGCCGAGGAGCCAUGUUAAAAGGAGCACGAGGACUGACAUUUGGGGAGACCAGGAACGGGAGCGAGGAUGGAGGAAGCGCUCGGGUCCGCGAACGGCUAGAGGCCCACGGAGGCCCUAGAGACUGUCUAUCAUGGAUAUUUAACUGCAGUUCUGUGAGUAUCCCAACUUAACCAUGAAGAUGAACUGCAAACUGUAAGUCAUUAAUUUCUCAUUAUUCUUGGGCACAUUGAUGUAUUUUGGCUUCCUGGUGAGUUAACCUGUUACCUGAAGGUUGAUCUGAGUAUGAAUGAUGUUUUAUUUGUUCAUGGGUUACUUAGGUGUUUGGUUUAUGUUGGUUUGAAUGAUUUGUUAAAAAGGUUACAGGCUUAUUGUUGUGAGCUGGAGUAAUGGAUUGGGUUCUGAUAUCUUCAGUCUUCUUUCAUUCUACUCUCCUGAGCUCUGCAUCUUCAUCACAUGAGUGUUGCUUUACUGUGGUCUGAGUGAGCAGAGGUACAUACUGGGAUACAGAGCUGUCUGAAGUCUACAGGUCUGCAGACACUCAGGGGAAACCGAGUGUUUGAGAAACUGUUGUGACGUCAGUUAAAUGGACUGGAAUGUUCUUAAAGAUGGAGACAGGGAUUCAGAAGGAGAAUCACCAGGGGGAGAUGAGGGGGCUCCUCAUCUCAACAACUGAAACACAACUUCAGUCUGACACAGAACCAUGGAACACAUUCAACAGUCCCCUCCAGGCAUCGUCACUCCUCAGGAACAGUUUCAUUUCCAAGAAGGUCUUAUUUGGGGCCAUCCCCAUAUGGAUCCUGCUCCUCAAGAGCCACCCCCCUCCACUGGGUGGUCUUCUGAACAGAUGACCUCCUUCCUGUCCUCAAGCUGACUAAAGCUGCACCAUUUGCAUCUGUGAAGGCCCCUCAUUCAGGAAACCACUGGACUACAAAGACAUGACUUCAGAGACGUUGAAUCAACCUGGGACACAUUUUGGAGAUGCCAAGCAUAAUCCAUCACCAAUGUGGGACGCCACUGAAGAAUGUUGUACAUAAUUACAUCUCUGGAGAUAUUGGUUGUUCUGUUAUGGGUGCCCUGGCAGGGAGAGCUGGGGGAUGAUUGAAUGUUAUUUGGCAUAAGGUUUUUGUGUGUGUGUGUGUGUGUGUGUCAUGAGAUGGAAGAUUUUGAGCAUCGGUAGGGUUCUACUGUGUGUGUGUGUGUGUGUGUGUGUCCCACUCACACCUGGCAUGGGGUUCUACGUGCCUGUCCUGGGUUCUAAGUGUGUGUGUGUGUGUCCGGCUUGCUUUGACAGUGAUAUUGUUCAUACGGGGGUCUGUGUGAUUGGCUUGGGAUAUUGGAAUGGUCAUCUAAAUCAUACCUGAUGGACGGCCACACGUUUACUUAAGGACCUCCAGUAGACAUGAAGAGCCCUGAGCAAUGCUCCGGAGCGAUAUCCAACACACUGGGAAGGAAGGAGAGUAUCCAACUCAAGUGUAAAAGGAUGCAAGCGGCGUGUUCAGAUCAGUGACUUCAAACUAGGACUACAACAAUCAGGAUCAAUGGAGGAUGGACACCAAAAGGAAUUCCACAAGGAGAGUCUGACGUUGGAAAGGGACCUAAAUUGAUAUUCAAGAUGACCUUCAGACCUGUAAUGAGACGGCUCUUCCUACCUGGCUGGAUUGAUGGAGAGCCCUGUGGAUCUUGUCUUGCUCUCAGUUGCACGUCUUCUCAGGCUGAACUGUAUUUGUUUUGGACAGGACUAGCUGGAUGAUUGGUUCCCUUAAAUCAGAACCAAUCCAGGAACUCCAGCUAGUGCGCUCUUCGAGCUGAAGUUGUGCUCUUCAACUGAGGAGGUAAGGAAACCUUCACUGGGGCUUCAAGGUGUAAAUGGGAGAAUGUUUCAAAGUGUUCCAUGGUACUCUGAACUGUUGUUGUGUUCCACUGGCUGAGAGGAAGAACCCUCACAUCUUCCUCUUGGCCUUUCUCCUCGGAGAAUCCUGGCGCCAUCUUGAAGGCUAUUCCAGCUCAUGUAACUGAUGUCACGACAGAUUCUCAAACACUUGGUUUCUCCUGAGGGGCGUGUCUAUAGAACUGAAGACUUCAGACAGCACUGUAUCCCAGCAUGCAUCUCUGCUCACUCAGACCACACCCCCAUGAGUAGGAUGCAACACUCUAGUGAUAGCGAUGUAGAGUUUUAUAAGUAACGAGGGAGCAGACUAAGGUGAUUAGAACACAAUGGAAUGUCAAGUCUGUAAAUCUUUAAACCAUGAAGAUGGUUGGAUAGGUCAGGACUCGGGCUUCUUUUUAUUAUGGGCAGUCCUUUCACUCGGAUGCCCACUUCUCACUGGACCUGUACAUGUGUUGGCUGGCUGGCAUUAUUUGCUGUUGGUGAUGAGGCGGUCAGGAUGACGUUGCAGGGCUAUGGUCGGCUCUCUGUGAGCUCAACGUUUAGAUUCGCUCUGUAUGGUUUGUACCCUGAAUAAUCGAGAUAAUUGUAAAAUAUAGACACGGUUUUGUAUUGAAUGAUUCCAGGAUUUUAGGUUUAAGGUUGUUGUGGGAUGUACAUUGUAGUUUGGUUCUUCGUAUGGUUUUGAGUGAUAUAAAUUGUACACACUGGGUGCAUAACAAUGUAAAGGUACACUGAAUAGUAGUAAUUACCAACAGCAACAAAGGGAUCUCCUCAAGGUAAGUCUGUUGGCUGUGUUUUAAUGAAGACCAUCGCUGGACUUCAGGAUCUUCCUCCGUUCAGCUCAAGGUGAGGCGCUGGUUCUGUUUUUUCUUUGGUUGGUUCCGGCCGGAAUGUUCGUAUUCCAGUCGGACGGUUUGUGCUUCCCGCCGGGAAGGUUCUGAGUGCGGUCACUUGAUUUAGUCCCAAUGGUUAGCAUAGAUUGUAGUCUUGACAACCAUAAGAAACCACCUGGCAGUUAGUUGGACGGGAGUCCCCUGAGGGAAUCUGGAGGAACGUUCUGGAUUGUAUUUGCGUAACCUCGAGCCGUUGCCUACGGAAACUAUUUUUCAGUCGGUUUCCAUUGGGAAUUGUUGCCCCCUAUCCUAAACAACUUUAAGUUUGGUAUUAAAUACAUACUGAGACGUACGUCGUACAAUAUGUUGAUAAUUUCCGAUGGUUGCGCCGUACGUUUAACCACGAUGACGUGACGGGACUCUCACUGCGUACAAAACAGCGUUCUACUUGCGGGCCCAUUUUUGACAUCGGGGAAGGCUGAAAAUCAUUUCAAGGUGGAAGAUGAUUGGACAUUUCUUCAACGGAACCCAGCACCUGAAUAUGGCUGAGUAUAUUUGAUUUAAUAACGAUACUGCUUAGUGUUCUUUGUUACUUCAGCUUUUGUACGUUCUAAAUAUCUGCUGUCAUUAAUUGCCACAGAAGUUAAACCCUACCCAAUGGAAUGACGUUAAACAACGACUUGGUGCAGAGUUACGAACUGGAUAAUAUCAAAGCUAAAAUAAUGGCCUUCAUUCCCACAUGUUGCAGUAGAAAAUACUCUAGAACUGUACAAGGUUAAAAAGGUAACAUGUAGUUUGUCCCAAGGUGUCUGCCUCCUCACCCAGAGUAAGACCUCCACCUCCUCACCCAGAGCCAGACCUCCACCUCCUGUCAGAAGUCCUCCAGAACAGUGAACCUCAGAUGCAGGAGGUGGG
ensembl:lncRNA